UACGAAGGGUGCAAGCGUUACUCGGAAUUACUGGGCGUAAAGCGUGCGUAGGUGGUUGUUAAGUCUGAUGUGAAGCCCUGGCUCAACCUGGGAACUGCAGUGGAUACUGAGAAGCUAGAGUGUGUCAGAGGAUGGUGGAAUUCCGGUGUAGCGGUGAAAUGCGUAGAGAUCGGGAGGAACACCAGUGGCGAAGGCGAUCACCUGGGAUGUUCUGACGCUGAGGAGCGAAAGCUAGGGAGCAACGGGG
rnacentral:rRNA from 1 species